rnacentral:rRNA from 1 species
UAGGGAAUUGUUCGCAAUGGGCGCAAGCCUGACGACGCAACGCCGCGUGGAGGAUGAAGAUCUUCGGGUCGUAAACUCCUUUCGAUUGGGACGAAUUGUCCGGGGGCGAACAGCGCCCGGACGUGACGGUACCGAGAGAAGAAGCCCCGGCUAACUCCGUGUCAGCAGCCGCGGUAAUACGGGGGGGGCAAGCGUUGUUCGGAAUUACUGGGCGUAAAGGGCUCGUAGGCGGCCAACUAAGUCGGACGUGAAAUCCCUCGGCUCAACCGGGGAACUGCGUCCGAUACUGGAUGGCUUGAGUCCGGGAGAGGGAUGCGGAAUUCCAGGUGUAGCGGUGAAAUGCGUAGAUAUCUGGAGGAACACCGGUGGCGAAGGCGGCAUCCUGGACCGGCACUGACGCUGAGGAGCGAAAGCCAGGGGAGCAAACGG